GUUUAACGGAAUGACUUAAAAUUAAAAUUGUUUAUAGCAAUGGGUGUCUUAAAUCCGCACUUAAGUCACGCAAGUCCGUGUCGUAAUUAGCCAUUUCUGGCACCGUGUAUAUCGCACUCUCUAAGCUCGUGCGCUAACCUCACACUGCCGAAAAGAACUGCAUACGCCACGAAUUUGCGUGACUGCGGAUUUAAUCAAGCAGUGCUAUAAAAUAUUGUACGAUACUCAAGUCGUAUGUUCACUUUGCGGGACGGCGUAAGCACCCUCGCUACGCUCGGGCGCUUAACCUUUCCGUACCACAAUGUGCCUUAUACGACACUUGUACCGUAAUGUACUAGUACAGUUUUAAUUAUUUGUAAUACUAAUGUUAUUUUCAUGAAGGUUCGACAUUUCUUUUUCCAGUUGAAACGGUUUUAAAAAAUUGCAAUUUAUGGUGUAUCAUAAAAGAAUGAUAAACGAUAACAUCAAAUCUCCGCGGUAAAAAUAUAAGUAUUAUUUUUUUUCAGGUACAUACUUCAACAUACUUUUAUCAACUAUUUCAAAAUCUAUUAAAAUUCCUAAAUUAAAGUCGCUAUACAAAACGGAGUAUUUCCCCGUAAUGUUUCGGUAAAAACAAAGAAAAGGAGACUGGACGGGUGAAAUCCACUAAGUAGAAGCAGAGAUACUGGCGUGUAUGGACGCGCGCACACACACACGCAUAUAUAUUAUGCAUCCAUUAUGAUUCUAUUAAUAACCGUCCGACACUUGAAUUUUAAUGAGCACAGAUGUCGAAGGCCUGAUAAUAUUUUCUGCGGAGUACAACAUAGGAACAACAACUGCCUAAUGCUUUUUUCAAAUUGCCGGCUUUCGUUUUUUGCCGUGUGCGUUUGAUCGCAAAACAAUGACAUUUUUUCAAUUUUUGUAAUUCUAUGAGCCGGCGCGAAAUUCCAUGCGCAUGUGACUGUAAUUGUUGCGCACAAUGCGCGGGAGUACGUACGCGCGCCUCGUGUAUGCUGCACACCGAGGUCUGUGACGGGCAAACAUAUACAUAUAUAAUGCCGCGAGAAAGCGAAGGGCUUUUCUGCGUGGCUCGAGUGCAGCAGCCAGCCCUGUUAUGCGCGUGUACACCUUCCCCACACCAGCAAGCGAUAAAACGAUUGUUAGACGCGGCUUUCUGCUUCGCGCCGAUGGGGCGCCGGAAAUCGGAAUUCUAAUUUUGAAGCUUUUGGAUCGGUACGGAUGUCCAAAGAAGCUUCUAUAAAAUUAUGAACAUACGCCAGACGUCAUACACUCGCACCGAGCUCGAAAGUUUUUUUUGCCAAUCUACAAAAAACCCAGUAAAUAAACUAUGAGCCGCCGGUCGAACUGAAGAUGAAGUAGCUUAUAGCGUACACAGCGCAUAUCGCACCUUCUCCCCUUUCUAUAAACUGAAAAACUAAACAUCCUCCCGCUCGAAAACUGACAUUUCGCGCGCGUCAUCAAUGAAGCAUUAAACUCUCCAGCGGCGGCCAUAAAUUCGAGCGGCGCGAGCCUUGACGAGAAGACAAAUAUUAUGUACACCUUGCUGCCGUAGGUACGUGUAUUCGCAAGCUUUGCGCACACUCCCCCCGAGUAAGCUUGACCGGCGCAGUACUCAGCGCGCGUGAAUACACGUGAAUGCCACAUACUACAACAUUCAAUAAUGGAUAAAUCGAAUGAUUAGCGAGAGGACGGGGCUAUAGUCUCAACGCUGCGUCUCAGCGCAAGCUCUUCUCUCCGUGUAUAAUAAAAAAACCACGACUAGAACGGUUGAAAGAUUUUCCACUUUUAAUUGAAUGAUAUAAACAAAUAAGAGCCAACAUACCUUUCGUACCAAAUCCGAGGUAAACACCACGUCACCGACAUCUCCAAAAUGCUCUGCUACCAGUGUAGCCGCAGCCUCGGACGUUGCAUUUCGGAUGUUGAGUAGCAUUUUACAAGUAGAUGUACAGAGAGAAAUAUAGGAAAGUAGAAAAAGUAGAAAUGCAAAAGAAUGUCGUAGAAGAAAAAGAAUGAAAAAUGAAAGAAAAGUAUGUUAAAUAAAGAGCAAGUAAUAGAGUAUAGAGUUUUAUUGGUUAAAAGCAACAGAAGCACGUGAAGCACGAAAAGUAAUGCGAUGUUGCACGCUCGGAAGUUACUUUCGUAAUGAGGAGAUUAACCGACAAAGCUAAGAAGGCGCUACUGCUACUCAUCAAUUCGGCGAAUUUUUUCUAUCGUCGACGUAAACAAGUGCCGAGUCGAGCCCUUUGCGCGCGUGCCGCUGUCGCCGGCUCGCGCCGCCACCCGCCCCACCUCCUCGCCCAGUACCUAGCCCUGCUUGACACCUCGCGCCAUAUCUCAGCGUCGCAGUAUAGACAGCUAUAACUGACCAUACUAUACGUUCCUAAUUUUCGCCGAGUUCGUUAGUGCCCACCGCCCCUCUCCCCGAUCAGUCAUUUCCAGUGCAGCAGCCUUCCCGACAACACGCGCUUUUCAACGCAACGCAACUAUGGGAAACAAUAUAAGCAACAUGGAGGACAAGUCUGAUAUGGAGAGCCCAUGCAAACGUAGCUGCAGUCAGGAUUAUAGCAUUGAAGCGCAAGUAGCCGUGCGUGGGCCGCCCGCAUGCUCGGCCGCCCCGGCAACGACCUCCGCCGGAAUUGCAGCGGAGGCAGCCAUGCAGCCGAUACCGGUAGCUGCAGCUAAAGCUCAAGCACCAUCGCCGACAUCUGCUUGGACUGGCACACGGGAGAUUCCUGCACCAUGCAGCCAUGGCUGAUUUCAGCAGCGACAGGAUGAAGCGCAGCUAGCCGUGCGUGGGCCGCCCGCAUGCUCGGCCGCCCCGGCAACGAACUCCACUGCUUAUCCCCUGGCUGCGGAGGCAGCAAUGCAGACGAUGCCGCAAGUUGCGGAUUUUACAAGGGCCGUCACAUGGGAGAUUCCAGCACCAUUGGACGUUUGCCGCCGUCAGCAGCCAUGCGAUGCACCGCAGGUAGCCGUGCGUGGGCCGCCCACAUGCUCGCCCGCCCCGGCAACGAACACCGCCGUAAGUUCAGCAACGGAGGCAGCAAUGCGGCCGAUGCCGAAAGCUCAAUUUUUUACGCGAGCCUCUUUGUCGGCAAAUUAUUGCUCCAACUGCCGUUUUGCGCAGGAGCAGUUGGCAGUAGCGAAAGAAAAGUUGAUUGAACAGGAGGCUGGAAUUGAGCAGUUGAAAAAAAAACUGAAACUAGAACGAGACUUCAUUAAAAAAUUAAAAUAUCAAAUUAAAAUAAUCAAAUAUAAUCGAAGAAAUUAAUGUAAAGAAAUUAAUAAAAUAUCGUUCUGUAAACAAAUAUACUUGUUGUACACUAUUUUUAAUCUCGUUUUCUUGGAUACUCGCUGCUGGUUUCGAGUACUGGUGGUGGUGGUCUGCUUUUCUGCAACGCGGCCUUCUGCAAGAGCGUUUACGCGGCAUAGCGGCGGCA